UGAUAGUUUCCAGAAUAAAGCACACAAUUUUAAAAGUAAUAUUUUCUAUUUACUAUUUGUUUACAAAUUACAACUGAUUAUAAAAAAACGAAAAUUAACAAAUUUAUUCAAUUUAGACAUAUCAAAAGACCGAUUACGUACGAGUACGAAUGCGUUCGCGUUGGAAUCGCAAUUAUUCUUUGUACCAUACUUUUUUUCUUUAUCUAAACUAUGAAUCAUAUCCGAGCCGAAGACGACGACGAAGAGUAAGGAUGAGGAAUAAGAACCAAGAACAAGAAUAUAAAAUUAAAGAAUAAAAUCAAAAUCACUAACAUGGAAGCAAAAACGACGAUGGGCAAAAAUUUUUAUUUUUAUAUUAUUUCGUAUCCGACUGAAACUGAACCUGAAGUAAGACGACCGGAAAUGGAAUUUUUAUCACACACUUGAACCCACACAAAGCCCAGUUAUGAGCAUUUGGAAUUAUCGGAAGAAAAAAAAAAAUAUAAAAGAAUCUUUUCACACUCACGAAAGACGACUUCUUUUAAAACCUGCAUAAAUGAAGCUGAAGCCCACACCAAGUUUAAAAGAAUUUUUUGGAACUCAUUCCCAUCGCACUCAAUUGAAGCUGACGAAGUGAAGGUGAUGCAGGAAAAAUCAAUUAUCUAAAGAAGUAACACUUUUCAGGCACGGCACAUUUAAAUCGGCCAGCAGUACUGUUUUGCUUUUGCUUCGUUUCCUCCAACAACACACCGAAGUGAGAUUUUUUCAUUUUCCUAUUGGCGUCUUGGCGUAUGGAAUUCUUAUAGGAUUCAAUGAAAUUUAUGAUUUUCAAUGCAAUAAAAUGGAGCACAGGUAAAACUAAACUAAAAAUAAAUACAAGAAAGAUGAAAGAAACUCUUACAAAGUGCCACAAGACUCCCGAGUCUUCUCGUCAGAGUUGAGUUAUCGCCGAAGCAUUUUAUUUUUCUUUCCUUCUUUUUGUUGAAACAACGACGGACGAAUUUGAGGAACGCGAAAAAACACCGGCGAUAAUCGUGUGUUAAAUAAAUGCCGAAUGGUAAUAAUUUAAUUAAUAGCAAAUCUCAAUUUCAAUAAGCAAAAAUAACAUAAAACAAAGAUUUUAUUCAGGAAACAAUCUUGAAUAAAAAUUUAUUGAAAAACAGUCGAAA